rnacentral:rRNA from 1 species
AGUGAACGCUGCGGUAGGCCUAACACAUGCAAGUCGAACGGCAGCACAGUAAGAGCUUGCUCUUACGGGUGGCGAGUGGCGGACGGGUGAGGAAUACAUCGGAAUCUACUUUUUCGUGGGGGAUAAUGUAGGGAAACUUACGCUAAUACCGCAUACGACCUACGGGUGAAAGCAGGGGAUCUUCGGACCUUGCGCGAUUGAAUGAGCCGAUGUCGGAUUAGCUAGUUGGCGGGGUAAAGGCCCACCAAGGCGACGAUCCGUAGCUGGUCUGAGAGGAUGAUCAGCCACACUGGAACUGAGACACGGUCCAGACUCCUACGGGAGGCGGCAGUGGGGAAUAUUGGACAAUGGGCGCAAGCCUGAUCCAGCCAUACCGCGUGGGUGAAGAAGGCCUUCGGGUUGUAAAGCCCUUUUGUUGGGAAAGAAAAGCAGCAGGUUAAUACCCCGCUGUUCUGACGGUACCCAAAGAAUAAGCACCGGCUAACUUCGUG